rnacentral:rRNA from 1 species
CAGUUAACACAUUAAGUGUACCGCCUGGNGAGUACGGUCGCAAGAUUAAAACUCAAAGGAAUAGACGGGGACCCGCACAAGCGGUGGAGCAUGUGGUUUAAUUCGAAGAUACGCGAAAAACCUUACCUGGCCUUGACAUUGAUAGAAUCCUGUAGAGAUACGGGAGUGCCGGCUUGCCGGAACUUGAAAACAGGUGCUGCACGGCUGUCGUCAGCUCGUGUCGUGAGAUGUUGGGUUAAGUCCCGCAACGAGCGCAACCCACGUCCUUAGUUGCCAGCAUUUCGGAUGGGAACUCUAAGGAGACUGCCUUCGCAAGGAGGAGGAAGGUGUGGACGACGUCAAGUCAUCAUGGCCCUUACGGCCAGGGCUACACACGUGCUACAAUGGGGCGUACAAAGAGCAGCAAUACCGCGAGGUGGAGCAAAUCUCAAAAACGCCUCCCAGUUCAGAUUGCACUCUGCAACUCGAGUGCAUGAAGUUGGAAUCGCUAGUAAUCGUAGAUCAGCAUUGCUACGGUGAUACGUUCCCGGGUCUUGUACUCACCGCCCGUCACACCAUGGGAGUUGAUUUCACCCGAAGCGGGGAUGUUAAAGUAGCUACCUUUCACGG